UACAGAGGGUGCGAGCGUUAAUCGGAAUUACUGGGCGUAAAGGGCGCGUAGGCGGUUGAAUAAGUUAUCUGUGAAAGACUUGGGCUUAACCUAGGACGUGCAGAUAAAACUGUGCAGCUAGAGUGCAGUAGAGGGUAGCGGAAUUUCCGGUGUAGCGGUGAAAUGCGUAGAUAUCGGAAGGAACACCGGUGGCGAAGGCGGCUAUCUGGACUGCAACUGACGCUGAGGCGCGAAAGCGUGGGGAUCAAAC
rnacentral:rRNA from 1 species